CAAGACCGAAACCAUUACCCCUUCUUCUUUAACCCUUACACUUUAACCUUUCUUCUUAACCUAUACAAGACUCAAAGAGAGACACGACCAAGUCCGGAUCGCCGGCCCACCCCUUCAAAAAUUCCAUGACCUCUUUCUCUAAACUUACCCACACCUAAUCUGUCGCCCACCCCAUGGGAGAACCUUGAGAUUUUUCAUUCACUCACAUAUAAGCGCACAUACACGCACAGUAAGGGAAAUCAGAGGAAAGGGAUUUGUGGGUUUUGUUUGUUUUGAUUUCCAACUUUUCCAUUUUCGGAUUUUUUGAGUUCUUCGCUGAAAAUUAGGUGAGCUUCUUCACUUUCUUUUUCUUUAUUUCAAAGAUAAAAAAAAUAGAAAAAUACAAACAAACAAAGAAAUACAUUGCUGCCCUUUCUUCUAUUUUUGAUUUAGUUUUCAAAGACGGAGUUUGAUUGAGAUCGAGGUCUUUUCGAUCCCGUGUUCUGUUCGUAGCUCAAGGAUUUGGGAGGUAACAUUUCAGAUUUCAUUUGGCAAAAUAUAUUUGAGUUCCAAGUCGAGGUCACCGGUUAGUUUCUGCCAUUAAUUUAAUCAAAACAGAAGUGAAAUCUUGGCUUUACUUUGAGGUUCCAUCUUUUGCUACUUUUCUAUUCCCUUUCUGGUAAUGUUGUUUGUUUACCUCUUAUGUUUUCCUGCCUAGUACGAGAACUUUUUAUAUUUACCAUGAUAGAUGUGCAUAAUUACUUGUCCUUUGAUUGUUAAUUUGGUAUAUUGAAGUAGCAAAGUCAGUUGUUGGGAUUGACUAAAGAAAGUUAUUUGACGGAGUUGAUUUAAGAAAACUUGUGUGAUUGGUGUUGAGUCCGUUACAAAUUAGGUGAGAAACAAAUGGGUUAUGGGAGUUGGCUUUAAUAAAGUGAAGGAAAUUGGCCUUAAAUGAUCUUGAUGCUUUUAUUCUACUCAUUUAUUAAUUAAACGCUAGUAGCAUGUUUUAGGCCGAUCACAUUCGGGUAGGCAAACUUUAGGCUUUCUUCCUUUCAUUUGAGGUAAGAGGUCAUCCAUUAGUUCAUUUAUUCGGGGAAUGCCCCGAAGGAUUUGUAUAUAGUUUAUUCCGGGGAAUGCCCCGAAGAACUUUGUAAAUAUUUAGUAUUUAUGAUUUUGCUUUACGCUUUUCUUUUAUUAGAUGGGGACGAUCUCAAGCCUCCUUUUGUGUUUAUUUGCCUCUUAUGUGUUUUUUUUACCUCAAUUUGAAUAUUCUAAAAGCCAACUAGAUCGAGUACGCAACCAUGAUUUUCACUGGACUUGAGGAGUGCCUAACACCUUCUCCCCGAGUCAAAUAAAUCCUCUUACCCGAUUGUCUGGUGCAGACUUAGUUUUAGAGUCUCCAGUAGUUUAAAAGAAAAAAAAUUAUUUUUAGAAAAACGGUGACCUGACACACCGAAAUCAAUGUCAGGUGGCAACUCUGAGUUAAUCCUUUUGAACACAAAUUUUUGUCACAUUCUAAUUGAAAACCCUUUUCAAGCUUUACAGAAAUCUUUUAUUAAUUUAAGAGGGUUAAGUGAAGUUUGUUAAAAAAGGGUAUGAUAGACCAUAUGUCGAGCCUUCAGAAAAGAAAUAACCCGACUAGAUGUACUAACUGAGGAACCCUUCCACUCCAACCUCAGCAACUCUGGCAUCGCUAAAGUAACAGUCUUGGCAUGGCAAUCUAGGACGAUGUGAUAUGGGGAUAACCAUUCCAUGCCCAGGAUGACCUUAAUGUCGGUCAUAUCAAGCAAUAUGAGAUCUUCUCUAGUCUGAAAACCACAGAAUGUGACCACACAGGACCGAUAGAUCCGAUCCACAACCACAUAAUCGCCCAAAGGAGUGGACACAUAAACGGAAGUACCUAAGGACUCACGAGGAAUAUCCAUGAAAUGAGCAAAUAGAGAUGACACAUAUGAAUAGGUAGACCCUGGAUCAAAUAGUACUGAAGCAUCCCUACCGCAUACGGAAAUAAUACCUGUGAUAACGGCAUCUAAGGCCAAAGCAUCUGACCUAGCCGGAGAAGCAUAGAAUCUGGCUGGAGCGUCGACUGGCUGGCCUCCACCUGACUGAACAGUAGUGGCUGACCUCCCCCUGUCUGGCCUCUACCUCUAAGACGACCCCUACCAGUCUGUCCUCUGCCUCUGGACGGCAAGAUAAUAGUGCUAUAAUCAUGUCCUACUGACCCUACUGCACUACCUUGCCCCGAAGUCUGGGGAAGGUCCUCUUCAUGUGACCCAAAUCUCCACACUCGUAACAACCUUUCGGCACUACAGACUACUACCCUGAAGUCUGAACCUGAUGGCUUGAAUACCCACUAGAGGAACCCUAAAUGGUUGGUGGGCAGUUUGAACUCUCCGGUAUAGCACUAAAGUAGGAGCUGAAGAACCCUGGAGACUUGAAUACCCACUGGAAGAACCCUGGAUGGCUGGCGGGCGAUAAGAACUCUUUGGUAUGACGCUGAAAUAGGGGCGCGCUGGAGCACCUUGAGGAGGUGGUAGUGCUGAAUACGGGGGCCUGCUGGGCUGACCCUUCCCAAACUGACCUCUACCCCUAGCCGGGGCACCUCUAAACUUUCCAGAGAAUCGAGCCCUCGUGUCCUGCUGCAUAUGCUCUCUACCUCUCAGAAGGUAGCACUCAAUCCUCCGAGCAAUCUCCACUACCAGCUGAUAAGGAGUCCCCAUCUUGACCUCUCAGGCCAUGUUGGCCCUAAUACCAGAGUGCAGACCUGCAACAAACCUCUGCACUCACUCUGCGUCAGUAGGAAGCAUCAUCAGUGCAUGGCGAGACAACUCAGAAAACCUCGCCUCACAGUCGGUCACUGACAUUUGACCCUGCUCAAGCUGCUCAAACUGAUAUCGCAACUCUUCCCUCUCAGAGGGUGGAAUAUACCUAUCCAAGAAUAGUUGUGUAAACUGGCCCCAAGUAAUGGGAGGAGAACCCGCUGGCCUACCAAGGACAUAAGACUGCCACCAUCUACAGGCCCAGCCCUCCAGCUGAAAAGUAGUGAAGUCAACCCCAUGAGACUCCAAUCCUCAUGUUGUGCCGUCUGUCCCUGCACCUAUCAAUAAAAUCUUGGGCAUCCUCAUGACGCUUGCCUAUGAAGAUAUGAGGGUGUACCCUGGUACAUCUAUCUAAUAACUUUUGUGGAUCACCGUCCGCAGCUGGUCUGGGAGCGGGUACCACUUCGCAACUGGUUGGGCCCCAUCUGCAGGAAGUGCACCCGGAGUUUGAUACACUACAGCUGCAUGACCAGGAGCCUGAGCAGUAGGGGUCUGUGCUCCCCCUCCCGCCUGCGAUGUGGCUGGGUCUGCUGCAAAUAAAACAGCUUGGGUCAUAGAAUCCAUGAACCACAGCAUACAGCCCAUGACCUCCUGAAAGCCCGAUGCUAUCAUAAAGUACGCCGGGCAAGGCUCUGCUACGGGCACCUCGCCCUGCUCCUCAAUACUAGUAUCCCCUGCAGGAUCCACUGGUGGUGCAACUAGGAUAGCUUUGGGACUCCCUCGUCCCCUACCUCAGGCCGAUGCCCUCCCCCGACCUCUGCCUUGGCCUCUAGCAACGGGGGGACUAGCUCCUCCCAGGUCUGGAAUGUCUGUCGUGUGCGUCCUCACCAUCUAUGAGAGAAUAGAAGAAGGAAAUUUAGUAUAACAUCAACUGCACGAUAGAAGAUGAAUAAAUAGUAGUUUCCUAACACCCUAUAGCCUGUCGAAGAUAAGUAUAGACGUCUCUGUACCGAUCCGCAAGACUCUAAUAGGUUUGCCUAUUACUGCUGAGAAUACGUGAACCUAGUGCUCUGAUACCAUGUUGUCUCGACCUAAAUUCCAUUAUAAGACGUGAUGGAGCCCAACUCCGUUGUUUGGCAAGCCAACCCUAAGUCAACUAGUGAGUUCUCAUUUAUUUUCAUAAACAAUCUCAACAUUUACUUAACUUUAAAACAUUCAAUAAUUAACAAUUUUAUAAGGCAACUGAAAUAGGAAAGACUAAAGGAAUUAUAAUAAUAGAAAUACAACCCAAAAGUAAUAGUCUACUAAUGAGUGUGCCAGGAUCUAGUGUCACAAGUACGAGGGCAACUAGUAGAAUGUAUAAAAGAAUAUAACUAUCCUACUGCCUGAAAUAGAAUAGACAGUAAUAACAAAAGGAGAGACUCCGGCAUGCUGUUGAACGACUCAGAAGAGGCAGCUCACCGUAGAAUCUCGGUCAAGAAUCAGGAACGCACGUCGGACGGGUAGCUAGAUGCCCCUGCCUCAGAUCCUAUAUAAUUAAGUACAAAAGCGUACCAUGAGUAAAUAAAUAAUAUGUACCUAGUAAGUAUCCGGUCUAACCUCGAAGAAGUAGUGAGAAUGGGUCGACUUGAUACUUACUAGGGUAAAUAAUAAUAUAAUUUAAGUGUUACGCUAAACAUGGAUGUCAUGAAUUAAAUAACAAUUUGUAAUAGGAAGUGAUGGGUUCAUUCAUAAAUAAUAUCCAGUUUCUGACAUUUCAGUUAACAAUAUAUAUUUCAAGGCAUUUAAAGCAGUUCAAAUCACACAAACUACCAAGCAUAUAGCAUGUGAAAAUAAUUCCAAAGUCGUACGACCCGAUCUAACAUAAUAAUAAAUGUAUCUAUUACCCCGCUCACGAAUCACACAUGUGACGUGGUCAAAUACGAUUAAACACAUCAACCAGUCAAUCAACAAUUCAUCAGGAAAGCAAUUACCCAAAGUAAUGAUAACUUCUCUUUAACGGUUAAGAAAAUGAUAUUUAACUUUUUAGAAAUUCAUUUGGCAAGUUCAAUAUGAUAUACGCAAUUUGAAUUGACAUAAAGUUACAAGUACGACAAUAAAGCAUGCUUUUGGGUCCUAGACUACCCGGACAAUUAGCAUAAUAGUAGCUAUGUACGGACUCUCGUCACCACGUAUUACGUAGCCCCCACAGAUAGUAACAUAUAUUUAUUUAAUUCACCUAUGAGGUUAAUUCCCUCUUACAAGGUUAGAAAGGAGACUUACCGUUCCCCAAAACUUACUUCCAAAUUCAAGAAUGCGCACAAACUCUCAAAUCGGAGCCGAACGAUCCAAAACUAUUCAAAUAGGGUAAGAACUAGUCAAUAUAUGCUCAAGAGUUCAUAUUCUAAAUAUUAAAGUAAUUUCCCAACCCUAAAUGCAAGGUUCCUAAAAUUCAUCCCCGGGCCCAUGUACCCGGAUUCCGGAAACUUUCAAAGAAAGUCGUUACCCAUAACUUUAGGAUCAAGAAUAUAUAAUUUCUACUAUAUUCCACAACAAAUUUUGUGGUUAAAUCUCAUUUUUAUCAAAACCCUAGGUUUUACUCUAAACCCAUAAUUUUCACUAAUUUACAUGUUGUAAUCUACCCAUAAUCUAUGUAUUAAACUCACAUUAAGUAGAAAUAACUUACCUCACAAAGCUAGGUUAAAAUCCCCCCCUUUUGAAGCUCCCAAAUCGCCCAAGAAUGGAGUGAAAUGUAUCAAAAAUGACAAACUCCUAUAUUAAAUAAAUGCAACUGCCUUUAGCGAUUUCCGCACCUGCGGUGAAGGGACCACAUCUGCGGUCUCGCUUCUAUGGAAAUGGGCUGGACCAGCUGGGACCGCAAUUGUGGUCAGGUGACGGCUUAUGCGGUUCCGCUUUUGCAGAAGAGGAGUCGCAUCUGCGGAACCUAGGCUCCUCCCUUUGGGCCGCAUCUGCGAUAGUUUAGCCAUUUCUACGGGAUCGCACCUGUGGCUAGCCAACCGCAGGUGCGGUCAUGACAGCAAUUGGAGCUUCAGCUCUUUCUCAAAUUUUCAACUUAGCUCAAGCCUCAUCCGAUUGAUGCUCAGGGCCCCGGGACCCCACCCCAAUAUACCAACAAGUUUGAAAUCAUAAAACGGACUCGCUCGAACCCUCGGAACGCCCGAAACAACAUUAAAACUAAGGAUCACACCCUAAAACCAAUUGAAUCAAACAUAUGAACUUCUAGUUUCUCAAUCUAAUUCCAAUGUGCCGAAACGUACUUGUACUACUGAUAAGUUGGUAUUUUACCAACUUAUCUUGUCUUUAAACUUAUAUUUUUGCUAUGUUUGAGUAAUAAAAUCUCGUGUUUAAUGUCAUUUACUCUAUAUUACAGGUUCUAUGUGAUUUAGAAGUGAUCUUGAAGAAUCCAAGUGAAAUGAGUCAAAAAGAAGCUAAAAUGAAAAAAAUCUAGAAAGGGGCCUCAGUUAUCGCAAAUACGACACAAUACUGGGAAAUGCGAAGAAAGCAGAGUUGGGAAUUACGAGUAAUCCAUCGCAAUUGCGAAGGAAGACCAAUCAAGCAAUCUUCGCUAAUGCGAAGAAGACUUCACAAAUGCGAAGUCUUUAUCGCAAAUGCGAAGGUCAACAGUAUGGUCAUAGUUCGCAAAUGCAAAAAUCGUGCUUCAGUUCUGGGCAAUUAUGUCAUUGCACAUUUUUUAUCCCCAAAUCCUUUAAUACCCAAACCAGCUCAUUUGUAAAAUAUCUUUUGGCUUAUUUUCAGUCUUAGGACUAAAGAGAAUAAGGUUGGAAGCUAGGGUUUAUGCACUUACACUUGGGUUUUGAAGAUUUGAAGAUUGUGGUUAAGAAUUUCUUACUCCUUUGUACUCAUUCUUCAUUUCCUUGCUUUGUAUUGAAUAUCUAAGUGUGUAGUAUUGUAUUCAACACUUGAAUCUUGUUUAUGGAAAUAAUCAUAUUUAAAGUGUGGAUUAAA
rnacentral:lncRNA from 1 species